rnacentral:lncRNA from 1 species
GAGAACUUUCUGUCUGGUUUCCACACUGAGAACCACUGUCACCUUUCCAAAGAAAUCAAGAAAAGUCCUAUUCAGCUCAACAGGUGCUGAUGGAAUAGACGUGCAUAAUUCUGACUGAAUCUGAGCAAUCGUGGCAAGCAUGCAGUUUAACUUGUAUUUACUGAUAAAUCUGGAUCAUUUGCAUAUCAAGAAUAAUUUAA